GACGAACGCUGGCGGCGUGCCUAAUACAUGCCAGUAGAACGCACAGUUUAUACCGUAGCUUGCUACACCGUAGACUGUGAGUUGCGAACGGGUGAGUAACGCGUAGGUAACCUGCCUGGUAGCGAGGGAUAACUAUUGGAAACGAUAGCUAAUACCGCAUAAUAUUAAUUAUUGCAUGAUAAUUAAUUGAAAGGUGCAAUUGCACCACUACCAGAUGGACCUGCGUUGUAUUAGCUAGUAGGUGAGGUAACGGCUCACCUAGGCGACGAUACAUAGCCGACCUGAGAGGGUGAUCGGCCACACUGGGACUGAGACACGGCCCAGACUCCUACGGGAGGCAGCAGUAGGGAAUCUUCGGCAAUGGACGAAAGUCUGACCGAGCAACGCCGCGUGAGUGAAGAAGGUUUUCGGAUCGUAAAGCUCUGUUGUAAGAGAAGAACGGGUGUGAGAGUGGAAAGUUCACACUGUGACGGUAUCUUACCAGAAAGGGACGGCUAACUACGUG
rnacentral:rRNA from 1 species